rnacentral:tRNA from 1 species
GUUUCUAUAGUUGAAUGCAACGGUGGUUUUUCAGACCAUAGGUCUUGGUUAGACUCCAGGUAGAAUCU